rnacentral:rRNA from 1 species
UUUCCCUCAGGAUAGCUGGCACUCAUGGGAAACGAGUCUCAUCCGGUAAAGCGAAUGAUUAGAGGCCUUGGGGCCGAAACGACCUCAACCUAUUCUCAAACUUUAAAUGGGUGAGAUCUCUGGCUUGCUUGAAAAGUGAAGCCAAGAGAGUAAAGUGGAUCAGAGUGCCAAGUGGGCCAAUUUUGGUAAGCAGAACUGGCGCUGUGGGA